UACGGAGGGUGCAAGCGUUGUUCGGAAUCAUUGGGCGUAAAGCGCGUGUAGGCGGCCGCUUAAGUCUGGUGUGAAAGCCUGGGGCUUAACCCCAGAAGUGCAUUGGAUACUGGGCGGCUAGAGGGCGAGAGAGGAGAAUGGAAUUCCUGGUGUAGGGGUGAAAUCCGUAGAUAUGAGGAACAUCAGAGGCGAAGGCGGUUCUCUGGCUCGUUGCUGACGAUGAGACGCGAAAGAGUGGGGAGCAAACAGG
rnacentral:rRNA from 1 species